CAGCACUCUCACACACAUCACACUCUGCACUCUCACACACAUCAUACACAGCACUCUCACACACAUCAUACACAGCACUCUCACACUCAGCACUCUCACACACAUCAUACACAGCACCCACACACACAGCACCCUCACACAAAUCAAUCACAUACAGCACCCACACAUACAGCACCCUCACACAGCACCCACACCUCACACACAGGAUCCAUCACACACACAUAGUGCACCCCUCACAUACACACACAACCCCCCGAUACAC